GAUGAACGCUGACAGAAUGCUUAACACAUGCAAGUCUUUGGCGAAGCUGUGCUUGCACAGCCUAGCCAAGGCGGACGGGUGAGUAACGCGUAAGGAACUUGCCCUGCAGUCAGGGAUAACAGACGGAAACGACUGAUAAGACCUGGUAAAGUCAGGCGGACUCAUGUCCAGCCCGAUGAAAAGAGCUGCUGCAGGAGAGCCUUGCGUCCUAUUAGCUUGUUGGUGGGGUAACGGCCCACCAAGGCGAUGAUAGGUAGCCGGCCUGAGAGGGUGGACGGCCACAAGGGGACUGAGAUGCGGCCCUUACUCCUACGGGAGGCAGCAGUGGGGAAUAUUGGACAAUGGGGGCAACGCUGAUCCAGCACUUCUGUGUGCACGAUGAAGGUUUUCGGAUUGUAAAGUGCUUUCAGCAGGGAAGAAAAAAAUGACGGUACCUGCAGAAGAAGCGACGGCUAAAUACGUG
rnacentral:rRNA from 1 species